rnacentral:rRNA from 1 species
CCUACGGGAGGCAGCAGUAGGGAAUUUUGCGCAAUGGGCGAAAGCCUGACGCAGCAACACCGCGUGAAUGUUAAGCCCUUCGGGGUGUAAAGUUCUGUCAAUAGGGACGAAUUUUGACUGUACCUAUAAAGGAAGCACCGGCUAACUCCGUGCCAGCAGCCGCGGUAAUACGGGGGGGGCAAGCGUUGUCAGGAAUCAUUGGGCGUAAAGCGUUCGUAGGCGGGAAGGUAAGUCUGAGGUUAAAGCCCGGGGGUCAACGCGGGUUCUGCAUUGGAUACUAGCUAGCUGGAAUGUGUGAGAGGUAAAGGGAAUUACUGGUGUAGGGGUGAAAUGCGUAGAUAUCAGGAGGAACAUCGGUGGCGAAAGCGAUUUACUGGAACAUUAUUGACGCUGAGGAGCGAAAGCGAGGGGAGCAAAUGGGAUUAGAUACCCGGGUAGUC